UCACCUGGGCAUCCCAUAAUACACCUGGGCAACCCGAAAUCCAUCCCUGGGACCCCGAAAUGCACCUGGCCAUCCCAUAAUGCAUCUGGGCAUCCCAUAAUGCACCUGGGGACCCCAAAAUGCCACCUGGCCAUCCCAUAAUGCACCUGGGGACCCUAAAAUGCCACCUGGCCAUCCCAUAAUACACCUGGGGACCCCGAAAUAUCACCUGGGCAUCCCAUAAUGCAUCUGGGCAUCCCAUAAUGCACCUGGGGACCCUAAAAUGCCACCUGGCCAUCCCAUAAUACACCUGGGGACCCCGAAAUAUCACCUGGGCAUCCCAUAAUGCAUCUGGGCAUCCCAUAAUGCACCUGGGGACCCUAAAAUGCCACCUGGCCAUCCCAUAAUACACCUGGGCAUCCCAGAAUAUCACCUGGGGACCCCGAAGUGUCACCUGGGCAUCCCAUAAUACACCUGGGGACCCCAAAAUACACCUGGGGACCCCGAAAUGUCACCUGGGCAUCCCACACCUGGCGACCCCAAAAUACACCUGGGGACCCCGAAAUGUCACCUGGGCAUCCCAUAAUACACCUGGGCAUCCCAUAAUACACCUGGGGACCCCAAAAUCCAUCCCUGGGACCCCAAAACGUCGCCUGGAGAGCUCAAAUAUCACCUGGGCACCCCUAAACUCACCUGGGGAACCCCAAAAUGUCACCUGGGCCCUUCCCAAAGCCCCCCUGAGGAGCCCCCAAACCUAUACUGGUUUAUACACGGUUGUACUGGGCUAUACUGGCCUGUAGUGGGUUAUACUGGUUUAUACACGGUUGUACUGGGCUGUACUGGGCUAUACUGAGCCGUACUGCGUUAUGCUGGGCUGUACUGGUUCAUACUGGGAUCCACCUGGGUGUGCUGGGGGGUUCUGAGGGUGCCCCCCAAUGGGGACCUCCAGUGACCCCCCCUGUCUGUCUGUCUGUCUGUCUGUCCUCUCCCUGUGCCCGUCUGUCCCCGUGUCCGUCCCCGUGUCCGUCCGUCUGUCCGUGUCCCAGAGGGGGUGGGGCCCCGCUCCGGGGGCUCUCGGGGCGCCGCCCCCCAGGGGGGUUGGGGGUCCCGGGGGACGCUGAGGCUGCGCUCGAGGGGCCCGGCCACGCUGCAGGAGCAGCCCUCGGCCUUCGAGGAGCGCGCGGUGGCCAAGGUGG
rnacentral:lncRNA from 1 species